rnacentral:rRNA from 1 species
GAUGAACGCUAGCUACAGGCUUAACACAUGCAAGUCGAGGGGCAGCAUGAAAGUAGCUUGCUACUUUUGAUGGCGACCGGCGCACGGGUGCGUAACGCGUAUCCAAUCUACCCAUGGCUCAGGGAUAGCCUUUCGAAAGAAAGAUUAAUACCUGAUGGUUUCGCUUUUCCGCAUGGUUUGGCGAAUAAAGAUUUAUCGGCGAUGGAUGAGGAUGCGACUGAUUAGCUAGUUGGCGGGGUAACGGCCCACCAAGGCGACGAUCAGUAGGGGUUCUGAGAGGAAGGUCCCCCACAUUGGAACUGAGACACGGUCCAAACUCC